rnacentral:rRNA from 1 species
AAAAAAUUUAAUUUUUAUUUAAAAAUUUUUUAUUUAUUUUAAUUAUAUGAAAAAUUUUAUUAAAUAAUUGGAAUAAAUUAGAGUAGAGAAUUAAUUUUUUAAGGAAUUAAAAAUUAAAAAUAUAAAUUUAUAAUUAAUAAAAUUUGUGCCAGCAAUUGCGGUUAAACAAAUAAUUUAAAAAAAUUUUUUAUUAUUAAUUUUUUUUAAAAAAUAUAUGAUAAAGUUUAAAUAAAAAAAUUUUAGGUAAAAUUUAUAUUUUUUUGAAUAAAUUUAUUAAUAAAUAUAAAGAUAUAUAUGAAAUUUUAAAAAUAAAUUAAGAUUAGAUAUCUUAUUAUUUUAAAAUAAAAUAAUUAAAAUAUGGGGAGUAAAUAUUUAUUUAUUAAAACUUAAAAAAUAUGGCAGUUUAUUAAUAACUCAGAGGAACUUGUUUAAUAAAUUGAAAGUGCACGAUAAAAUAAAUUUAAAUUAAUUUAAUUUGUAUAUCGCCAUUAAUAAAAAUUUUUGAAAAUUUAUUUUUUAAAAUUUAAGAAAAAUAAUAUUUUAGGUCAAGAUACAGUUUAUAUUUAAGAUUAAAUGAGUUACAAUAAAAUUUAUUAAAUAUUUAUAUAUAUAUAUAUAUAUAUAAAUAAAUAAGAAAAUUAGAGAUAAAUUUAAGAUAAUUUAUAGAAAGAGGAUUUGAAAGUAAAAUAAUUUAAAUUAAAUUUUUUGAAUAAAUAUUAAUAUGUGUACAAAUUGCCCGUCAUUUUCAUUAAAUAUGAAAGAAGUCGUAACAUAGUAAAAGUACUGGAAAGUGUUUUUAGAAAAUA